rnacentral:rRNA from 1 species
CGUGGGUAACCUGCCCAAGAGAUCGGGAUAACACCUGGAAACAGAUGCUAAUACCGGAUAACAACAGAUGAUGCCUAUCAACUGUUUAAAAGAUGGUUCUGCUAUCACUCUUGGAUGGACCUGCGGUGCAUUAGCUAGUUGGUAGGGUAACGGCCUACCAAGGCGAUGAUGCAUAGCCGAGUUGAGAGACUGAUCGGCCACAUUGGGACUGAGACACGGCCCAAACUCCUACGGGAGGCAGCAGGC